rnacentral:rRNA from 1 species
UACGGGGGGAGCAAGCGUUGUCCGGAAUCAUUGGGCGUAAAGAGCGCGUAGGCGGCCCUGUAAGUCCGCUGUGAAAGUCAAGGGCUCAACCCUUGGAUGCCGGUGGAUACUGCAGGGCUAGAGUCCGGAAGAGGCGAGUGGAAUUCCUGGUGUAGCGGUGAAAUGCGCAGAUAUCAGGAGGAACACCGAUGGCGAAGGCGGUCUGCUGGGCAGUAGCUGACGCUGAUGCGCGACAGCGUGGGGAGCAAACAGG